CCUACGGGUGGCAGCAGUGAGGAAUAUUGGUCAAUGGGCGCGAGCCUGAACCAGCCAAGUAGCGUGAAGGAUGACUGCCCUACGGGUUGUAAACUUCUUUUAUAAAGGAGUAAAGUGAGGCACGUGUGCCUUUUUGUAUGUACUUUAUGAAUAAGGAUCGGCUAACUCCGUGCCAGCAGCAGCGGUAAUACGGAGGAUCCGAGCGUUAUCCGGAUUUAAUGGGUUUAAAGGGAGCGUAGAUGGGUUUGUAAGUCAGUUGUGAAAGUUUGGGGCUCAUCCGUAAAAUUGCAAUUGAUACUGGCAGUCUUGAGUACAGGUGAGGUAGGCGGAAUUAGUGGUGUAGCGGUGAAAUGCUUAGAUAUCACGAAGAACUCCGAUUGCGAAGGCAGCUUACUAAACUGCCACUGACAUUGAGGCUCGAAAGUGUGGGUAGCAAACAGGAUUAGAUACCCUUGUAGUC
rnacentral:rRNA from 1 species